rnacentral:rRNA from 1 species
GACGAACGCUGGCGGCGUGCCUAAUACAUGCAAGUAGGACGCAGUUGCGAACGGGUGAGUAACGCGUAGGCAACUGCCUAUUAGAGGGGGAUAACAAUUGGAAACGAUAGCUAAUACCGUAUACUAGUAGAUGGACCUGCGUUGUAUUAGCUAGUAGGUUGGGUAAUGGCCUACCUAGGCAAUGUUACAUAGCCAACCCGGGAGGGAGGUCGGGCACACUGGGACUGGAACACGGCCCAGGCUCCUACGGGAAGCAGCAGUAGGGAAUCAUCGGCAAUGGGGGGAACCCUGACCGAGGAAAGCCGGGUGAGUGAAGUAGGGUUUCGGAUCGUAAAGCUCUGUUGUUAAGGAAGCGGUACUUAAACAGGAAGGGCCGGCUAACUACGUGCCAGCAGCCGCGGUAAUUC